CGGUAACGCCAAGGAACUGAUAUCAGGAUCUGUAGAUUGCCUUUCAGCGACAAAAAGAGUGUUUACCUCCUCGUGUUGUUUUUAGUAUUAAAUGAGACCUCUGCAGAAGGCGCUUAGCACAGCUGUCAGCGGUUAAAACGCCUCCGGUCCGCUUGGAUGCACUCGCCCGCCUGGACACACCCCAGGCUCUGA